AUUGAACGCUGGCGGCAGGCCUAACACAUGCAAGUCGAGCGGAUGAGGGGUGCUUGCACUCCGAUUCAGCGGCGGACGGGUGAGUAUGCCUAGGAAUCUGCCCGAUAGUGGGGGACAACGUUUCGAAAGGAACGCUAAUACCGCAUACGUCCUACGGGAGAAAGUGGGGGGUCUUCGGACCUCACGCUAUCGGAUGAGCCUAGGUCGGAUUAGCGAGUUGGUGGGGUAAAGGCUCACCAAGGCGACGAUCCGUAACUGGUCUGAGAGGAUGAUCAGUCACACUGGAACUGAGACACGGUCCAGACUCCUACGGGAGGCAGCAGUGGGGAAUAUUGGACAAUGGGCGAAAGCCUGAUCCAGCCAUGCCGCGUGUGUGAAGAAGGUCUUCGGAUUGUAAAGCACUUUAAGUUGGGAGGAAGGGCUGUAAGCGAAUACCUUGCAGUUUUGACGUUACCGACAGAAUAAGCACCGGCUAACUUCGUGCCAGCCGCCGCAGUAA
rnacentral:rRNA from 1 species